UACAGAGGUCUCAAGCGUUGUUCGGAUUCAUUGGGCGUAAAGGGUGCGUAGGUGGCAUGGUAAGUCGGAUGUGAAAUCCCGGGGCUCAACCCCGGAACUGCAUUCGAUACUGCUGCGCUAGAGUACUGGAGAGGAGAUUGGAAUUUACGGUGUAAGCAGUGAAAUGCGUAGAUAUCGUAAGGAAGACCAGUGGCGAAGGCGGAUCUCUGGACAGUUACUGACACUGAGGCACGAAAGCGUGGGGAGCAAACAGG
rnacentral:rRNA from 1 species